rnacentral:piRNA from 1 species
UGGGUUAGGUUGCUUCUCCCUCUUCCCUGU